CUCAGCUAUGAUGAUCAUCUGAGGGUUAGUCGGGCCUAAGGGGAUGGCGAGAGCCGCACCCGAUGGACACAGGGUUAAUAUUCCCUGACUGUUUCUAGAGGCUAAGGAGGGACGGACUGCUGUAUGUGUUGCCGAUUAUUGGAUUUCGGUCAGCAGUGCGAGGAAGUGUGUUAGGCAAAUCCGGCACACAAUAUUCCAAGCACUGACGCAAUUUCCUUCUACGGAGGGAGAGAGAACGCAAAGCGCGGUUCCAAGAAAAGCUUCUGUGCAUCAACUCUAGAGACACCCGUACCGCAAACCGACACAGGUGUUCAGGUCGAGAAGACCAAGACGAACGAGUAAGAGGUCCUCAAGGAACUCGGCAAAAAAGCGGCCGUAAGUUAGCGAUAAGGCCUGCCCCUGUCUCGCAAGAGAUGGGGGCCGCAGUGAAAGUUUUCCCUUCAACUGUUUACCAAAAACACAGCUCCCUGCAAACUCGUAAGAGGACGUAUAGGGGGUGACACCUGACCAAUGCCGGAAGGUUAACCACGGUGGGUCUCAUACUUCGGUGUGAGGCUGGACUGUGUAAGCCCCGGUGAAUGUCGGCGAUAACUAUAAUCGUCCUAAGGUGCCGUGUUCGACUCUGUCGAACACGGUNNACGGCAGGAUUGGGACGAUUAUGGUGGUGAACAAUACAAGCUACCUUGCCGUGCAGUAAUGCGCGGAUUAAUCCACACAUGGCUAUAUGCGAAGUAGAUGUCUAAGGGUAAAAUAUACCUUAGGUAUGACUGAGCAGGAAAGACUAAGAGCAGAAGGAUGGAUAGUGGGAUUUACCGAUGGGGAAGGAUGCUUCUCCAUAAGUAUGUUCCGCAAUGCGACAACAAAGUUUGGUUGGCAAGUGUUCCCAGAGUUUGUCAUAACUCAGGGCAUGAAAAGCUUGCCAGCACUGAAGUUGUUUCAGUCAUUCUUCGGGUGCGGAAGAGUGUUUGUGAAUAAACGAUAUGACAAUCAUCACGAACAUGUGUAUCGAUAUUGUGUACGAUCUGUAAAAGAUCUGCAUGAAAUCAUAAUUCCGUUCUUUCAAAAACAUCCACUUCAUACAGCGAAGCAAAAAGAUUUUAUUCUUUUUGCAGAGGCUGUAGACAUGCUUCUUAAAAAAGAGCAUCUGACCGAGAGCGGAUUGAAAAAGAUUGCGCUCAAGAUAGAGCGCAUGAAUCGAAAGAAACCAUCUCAAUUCUUAGAAUCCCCAGAGACCAAACGCCGUGCUCCUGCAAAAGCAGGAUGAAGAUAGAGUCCAAAUUGGAGGAAUAUUUGAGCGUAAUUCCUUGUCGGGUAAGUUCCGACGUGCACGAAUGGUGUAAUGAGAGGGAAACUGUCUCGAGGACUCGCUCGGUGAAAAUGCAAUUCCGGUGAAGAUGCCGGAUACCUGUAGUUAGACGAAAAGACCCCAGGAGCUUUACUAUAGCUUCGUAUUGGCACUGCGGUAUUCCUGCGUAGCAUAGGUGGGAGACUUUGAAGCAUCGGUUUCGGCUGAUGUGGAGUCGCAAUAUGAAAUACCACUCUUGAAUUUUGCAGUGUCUAACCCCGUUGGGAUCCAACGGGGGACCGUGCGUGGCAGGUAGUUUUGGUGGGGCGCUAUCCUCCUAAAGAGUAACGGAGGAGUCUAUUAAGGUUCUCUAGUCGCGAAUGGAAACCGUGACGAUAGUGUAAUGGCAUAAGAGAGCUUAACUGCAAGGGGGACAUCCCGAGCAGAUGCGAAAGCAGAGCAUAGUGAACCGAUGGUACGCCUUAGAUGCGGCCAGNNCUGGGGAUAACAGGCUAGUUCCGCCCAAGCGUCCAUAGCGACGGCGGAGUUCGGCACCUCGAUGUCGGCUCACCUUAGCGCGGGGCUGGAGAAGGUCCCAAGCGUAUGGCUGUUCGCCAUUUAAAAAGGUACGCGAGCUGGGUUCAAACCGUUCAGCAACUGAUUGCAGAAUCGGUGAUUGAACGGUUUGAACCCCGAGGCAAAUGUUAGCUGCGUGGAGACGCAGUGUGCGUAAACGACAACUCACGGCGGUCGUACGUAGGAAUACGUACGUUAGCAAAUCAACUGAUAUCGGUGGAACCCUUAUGCAAAGGGCAAUACCGAGGGAAGCUCUAUGUAAUUAUUAUAGUUGCACCCUUAGAGACUGAAUGUUGAUCACCCAAAACGGACUUGCCCUGAGCAAGGUCG
rnacentral:rRNA from 1 species